rnacentral:rRNA from 1 species
CCCUUAGAUGUUCUGGGCCGCACGCGUGCUACACUGAUGCAUUCAACGAGUCUAAAACCUGGUCUGAUAGGGCUGGGUAAUCUUUUGAAAGUGCAUCGUGAUUGGGAUAGAUGAUUGCAAUUCUUCAUCUUCAACGAGGAAUGCCUAGUAAACGCAAGUCAUCAGCUUGCAUUGAUUACGUCCCUGCCCUUUGUACACACCGCCCGUCGUUCCUACCGAUUGAAUGAUCCGAUGAAUACCAUGGAUUGAGAGUACGAAUAGGUUCGCUUAUUUCUGCUGCUCGAGAAGUGGAGUAAAUCUUAUCAUUUAGAGGAAGGAGAAGUCGUAACA